rnacentral:rRNA from 1 species
UACAGAGGGUGCAAGCGUUGUUCGGAAUUAUUGGGCGUAAAGGGCGCGUAGGCGGCCCGUCAAGUCCCGUGUGAAAGCCCCCGGCUCAACCGGGGAACGGCGCGGGAAACUAGCAGGCUUGAGUUCGGGAGAGGGAAGCGGAAUUCCGGGUGUAGCGGUGAAAUGCGCAGAUAUCCGGAGGAACACCGGUGGCGAAGGCGGCUUCCUGGACCGACACUGACGCUGAGGCGCGAAAGCUAGGGGAGCAAACGGG